rnacentral:lncRNA from 13 species
CUGACCCCUCCCUCUCCUCUUUUGUGUGUGACCGUGGGCACAUUAUGAAGGAUCUAAGUGUCAGACUUCUCAUCUGUAAAAUGGAGCUGAUAACUUCCCUGUCACAGGCUUUUUUGUGUGGAUUCAAUAUUUAAUGUAAGUGUUUUGCUCUGUCAACUGUUUGUUAGAAGAUUUCAUGCCAGAGAAAAUUGAGUUUCAUAUCCAUGCUCAUAGAUCACAGUCUGAAUACAACUUGCUGCACUCCACUUGGCAGGGACAUGGAUGAAUCUGGAGAACAUCAUCCUCAGCAAACUGACACAAGAACAGAAAAUGAAACACCGCAUAUUCUCACUCAUAGCACCACUCGUGCUUGCUGCACCAGUAAAGCCAUCCUGUUGUGUGAAGCUAGCAUCUCUCCCAGUUAAUAACCACAUCAUACUGUUCUCUUCAAUAUCAAGAUUUCAAACCCAUCUCUUGAGUGCCAAUUUC